rnacentral:rRNA from 1 species
GAGGCGGAGGAACGAGGCGGCUACGGCAGGUCAGUAUGCCCCGAAACCCUCGGGCCACACGCGGGCUGCAAUGGUAAGGACAAUGGGCUCCGAUUCCGAAAGGAGGAGGCAAUCCCUAAACCUUACCUCAUUUAUGAUUGAGGGCUGAAACUCCCCCUCAUGAAUAUGGAAUCCCUAGUAAUCGCGUGUCACCAUCGCGCGGUGAAUACUUCCCUGCUCCUUGCA